UCCUGUUUUCCUCACUCUCUCAAGGCGAGUGAGGUCUACGGGGGAAAGUCCCCUCACCCCCAUAGACCUCCUGGAAUGCCUGGAACAGCUGAGCAACCUGGGCACAGGUGGCUUGAGACAACCUAGCUAUUCAGGCCUGAUGCCAGAGUGAACGCCACAGGGAGACUGCCGGGUCUGGGGGGCACGUGCUGGUCAGGCCCCCAGUAGACCCCUUGCAGGCAGAUCUCCAUCCCCAUGCAGAGUCUAUAUCCUAGAAAUCCAACCUGAGAUCCAGCAGCACCGAGAAAGGGAAGCUAUUUCAAGAGAUAGGAAUUGUCAGAAAAAGCCGGAGAAGGUGGUGUUAAAUGAAAACAUUGAGAAUGGGGGGUGAAGAUGCCGGUUAUUCGUAGUAGAAGAUGGGUCUUCAAAAGCCAGGAGGCGGAGGAGAGGAAUGCUGUCAGUGGGAUAAAGCUGGAGAUUUCUGCUACGUGCAGCACAUACUGCUAAUCCUUUCUCAUCUCCAGGAAGUUUUCAAAAACCUGCUUCUGUAACUAACGGACAGGUCUUCUGGAUCCAAGGUCACCUGCUGGGGAGAAAGAGAAGUCUUUGGAUAAACAUUGCAAGUUUUCCUGGAACAUCGAUGCUGUUUAAGAUUUAAGAUUUUUUGGAAAGAAGGGAAUAAGGUUUUUACAAAUGUUUUCAAAAGUGUAACAUGUAUAUAUGCUCAUUUCAGACCAUUUGAUCAGUAUAAAAUAUUAAAGAAGAAAGUAAGAACUCA